ACGAACGCUGGCGGCGUGCUUAACACAUGCCAGUCGCACGGAAAGGCCCUGCUUGCCGGGUACUCGAGUGGCGAACGGGUGAGUAACACGUGGGUGAUCUGCCCUGCACUUCGGGAUAAGCCUGGGAAACUGGGUCUAAUACCGGAUAGGAGCCAUUUUUAGUGUGAUGGUUGGAAAGUUUUUUCGGUGUAGGAUGAGCUCGCGGCCUAUCAGCUUGUUGGUGGGGUAAUGGCCUACCAAGGCGGCGACGGGUAGCCGGCCUGAGAGGGUGGACGGCCACAGUGGGACUGAGAUACGGCCCAGACUCCGACGGGAGGCAGCAGUGGGGAAUAUUGCACAAGGGGCGCAAGCCUGAUGCAGCAACGCCGCGUGGGGGAUGACGGCCUUCGGGUUGUAAACUCCUUUCGCUAGGGACGAAGCUUUUUGUGACGGUACCUAGAUAAGAAGCACCGGCUAACUACGUG
rnacentral:rRNA from 1 species